UGGGCUCUGCAGUGUGAGGUAGUUGGUUGUAUGGUUUCGCAUAAUAAACAGCAUGGAGAUAACUGUACAACCUUCUAGCUUUCCCUGCGGAGUCAC
ensembl:miRNA